rnacentral:rRNA from 1 species
AUGGACUUCUUGCCGGCGGACGGCACCGCCGGGUGCGCCAAGGGCGGGUCGCGGUGCGAUGCUGACAUCACGUCGCAGUGCCUGUCCGAGCUCCGUGCACCCGGCGGGGGCAACAACGCGUGCACGGUGUUCAAGAAGGAUGAGUACUGCUGCACUGGCACGGCAGCAGACAACUGCGGGCCGACCGACUAUUCCAAGUUCUUCAAGGGGCAGUGCCCGGACGCGUACAGCUACCCCAAGGAUGACGCCUCCAGCACCUUCACUUGCCCCGGAGGCACCAACUACCAGGUCGUCUUCUGCCCAUGA